rnacentral:siRNA from 1 species
UUUUUAUUUUGGGAUGCC